CCUUAGAGUUUGAUCCUGGCUCAAGAUGAACGCUGGCGGCGCGCCUAACACAUGCAAGUCGAACGGCACCCCUCUCCGGAGGGAAGCGAGUGGCGAACGGCUGAGUAACACGUGGAGAACCUGCCCCCUCCCCCGGGAUAGCCGCCCGAAAGGACGGGUAAUACCGGAUACCCCGGGGCGCCGCAUGGCACCCCGGCUAAAGCCCCGACGGGAGGGGAUGGCUCCGCGGCCCAUCAGGUAGACGGCGGGGUGACGGCCCACCGUGCCGACAACGGGUAGCCGGGUUGAGAGACCGACCGGCCAGAUUGGGACUGAGACACGGCCCACACUCCUACGGGAGGCAGCAGUGGGGAAUCUUGCGCAGUGGGGGGAACCCUGACGCAGCGACGCCGCGUGCGGGACGGAGGCCUUCGGGUCGUAAACCGCUUUCAGCAGGGAAGAGUCAAGACUGUACCUGCAGAAGAAGCCCCGGCUAACUACGUGCCAGCAGCCGCGGUAAUACGUAGGGGGCGAGCGUUAUCCGGAUUCAUUGGGCGUAAAGCGCGCGUAGGCGGCCCGGCAGGCCGGGGGUCGAAGCGGGGGGCUCAACCCCCCGAAGCCCCCGGAACAUCCGCGGCUUGGGUCCGGUAGGGGAGGGUGGAACACCCGGUGUAGCGGUGGAAUGCGCAGAUAUCGGGUGGAACACCGGUCGUGAAGGCGGCCCUCUGGGCCGAGACAGACGCUGAGGCGCGAAAGCUGGGGGAGCGAACAGGAUUAGAUACCCUGGUAGUCCCAGCCGUAAACG
rnacentral:rRNA from 1 species